AUCAGUUUUUGAUAAGUACAAACCAGUAGAGCUACAGUCUCGACAGAGACUUCUGGUUAUUUUUUCUUCCAUCCCGGUUGUUGCUAAUGCUAUUACAUAAUUAGUUUAAAUUAGAAUGCAAUAGUACCUGGACAUAAUUUAUCAUUUCAGAGAGAAGAAAACUGUGUGACGUUAAAAGAAAACCAGUGAGAUAAAAUCAUAGAAAAUGUAUGAUGAUUCAGGAUGUGGUCAUUUGUGACAUUAAAACAGGAAUUGUCAUCACCAAUAGACGAAUUUCACAUUCCUAAGAGUUUUCUCCAAUUGUCGGCGUAUCGCUCAUUUUUCCCACUUUGUCCUUAGUCCUGUUCUGUGGAUGCCCUAAGACAGUGUCUACCCAUCACUCCAUCUGAUAUCACUUGUUCUGUGCAUAUUUCUCUCUCAAACUUAAACUACAGAGAGCCUGUGGAUAGAGGAUGAAGAGUGACCUUGGACUAAUUUUCUAGGUCAAAGAUCAUAGGUGAUGUGAAGAAAACCAGGAAACUGAUGUUGAAAGAAGUACUUAAUGACCCUUAUAAAUGGACUUAAAUGUGAAAGACUGUUCCAUUGUUUAUCUAAGAUAUAUGAGUUU